rnacentral:rRNA from 1 species
CCUACGGGGGGCAGCAGUGAGGAAUAUUGGUCAAUGGGCGAGAGCCUGAACCAGCCAAGUCGCGUGAAGGAUGACGGCCCUACGGGUUGUAAACUUCUUUUGUCAGGGAGCAAUUGGGUCCACGCGUGGGCUUAGCGAGAGUACCUGAAGAAAAAGCAUCGGCUAACUCCGUGCCAGCAGCCGCGGUAAUACGGAGGAUGCGAGCGUUAUCCGGAUUUAUUGGGUUUAAAGGGUGCGUAGGCGGGCAUUUAAGCCGGCGGUCAAAUGUCGGGGCUCAACCCCGGCCUGCCGUCGGAACUGGGUGCCUUGAGUGGGCGAGAAGUAUGCGGAAUGCGUGGUGUAGCGGUGAAAUGCAUAGAUAUCACGCAGAACCCCGAUUGCGAAGGCAGCAUACCGGCGCCCUACUGACGCUGAGGCACGAAAGUGCGGGUAUCGAACAGGAUUAGAUACCCUAGUAGUC